rnacentral:rRNA from 1 species
UACGUAGGGGGCUAGCGUUGUCCGGAUUUAUUGGGCGUAAAGAGCGUGUAGGCGGCCAGGUAGGUCUGCUGUGAAAACUCGAGGCUUAACCUCGAGCUGUCGGCGGAAACCAUCUGGCUAGAGUCCGGAAGAGGAGAAUGGAAUUCCCGGUGUAGCGGUGGAAUGCGCAGAUAUCAGGAGGAACACCAAUAGCGAAGGCAGCUCGCUGGGACGUUACUGACACUGAGGCGCGAAAGCGUGGGGAGCGAACAGG